rnacentral:rRNA from 1 species
AUGACAUCCUCUCCCGAUGGUCUGGGCGGUCCGGAGCACGCUGUUGCUUCUCCUGCAGCAGAACGACAGCCACAUCGUCGCGUCCGGGGACAGCUCUUUGUCCACUUGCACAGCCCCUCAGCAUCGCCUUUAAGUUCGCCGAGAUGGACUACGUUGCCAAAGGUUAAUGAUUUACUGGAGAUAUCCAAGACGAUUUCAACAUUACCCUCCAUGGUUGAGCAUCACAUUCAGAAAGGCAGUGUCAGGCAGCCAGGGAGCCAUACAUGGAACCUACUGAGGGUUAAGCAUGGUUUUGAUACAGUGAAAGUUCUGUUUGAGUAG